rnacentral:rRNA from 1 species
UUAAGUUGGGCACUCUAAGUUGACUGCCGGUGACAAACCGGAGGAAGGUGGGGAUGACGUCAAAUCAUCAUGCCCCUUAUGAUUUGGGCUACACACGUGCUACAAUGGACAAUACAAAGGGCAGCGAAACCGCGAGGUCAAGCAAAUCCCACAAAGUUGUUCUCAGUUCGGAUUGUAGUCUGCAACUCGACUAUAUGAAGCUGGAAUCGCUAGUAAUCGUAGAUCAGCAUGCUACGGUGAAUA